rnacentral:tRNA from 3 species
GGGCCAUUAACUCAAUUGGUAGAGUGCCAUGUUCACAGCGUGGAAGUUGCUGGUUCGAGUCCAGCAUGGCCCACCA